rnacentral:rRNA from 1 species
AUUGAACGCUGGCGGCAGGCUUAACACAUGCAAGUCGAGCGGGGUGAUGGUGCUUGCACUAUCACUUAGCGGGACGGGUGAGUAAUGCUUAGGAAUCUGCCUAUUAGUGGGGGACAACAUCUCGACAGGGAUGCUAAUACCGCAUACGUCCUACGGGAGAAAGCAGGGGAUCACUUGUGACCUUGCGCUAAUAGAUGAGCCUAAGUCGGAUUAGCUAGUUGGUGGGGUAAAGGCCUACCAAGGCGACGAUCUGUAGCGGGUCUGAGAGGAUGGUCCGCCACACUGGGACUGAGACACGGCCCAGACUCCUACGGGAGGCAGCAGUGGGGAAUAUUGGACAAUGGGGGGAACCCUGAUCCAGCCAUGCCGCGUGUGUGAAGAAGGCCUUAUGGUUGUAAAGCACUUUAAGCGAGGAGGAGGCUCUUUUGGUUAAUACCCAAGAUGAGUGGACGUUACUCGCAGAAUAAGCACCGGCUAACUCUGUGCCAGCCGCCGCGGUAA